GGAAAAGAAACUAACAAGGAUUCCCCUAGUAGCGGCGAGCGAAGCGGGAAGAGCUCAAAUUUAUAAUCUGGCACCUUCGGUGUCCGAGUUGUAAUCUCUAGAAAUGUUUUCCGCGUUGGACCGCACACAAGUCUGUUGGAAUACAGCGGCAUAGUGGUGAGACCCCCGUAUAUGGUGCGGACGCCCAGCGCUUUGUGAUACAUUUUCGAAGAGUCGAGUUGUUUGGGAAUGCAGCUCAAAUUGGGUGGUAAAUUCCAUCUAAAGCUAAAUAUUGGCGAGAGACCGAUAGCGAACAAGUACCGUGAGGGAAAGAUGAAAAGCACUUUGGAAAGAGAGUUAACAGUACGUGAAAUUGUUGGAAGGGAAACGCUUGAAGUCAGACUUGCUUGCCGAGCAAUCGGUUUGCAGGCCAGCAUCAGUUUUCCGGGAUGGAUAAUGGUAGAGAGAAGGUAGCAGUUUCGGCUGUGUUAUAGCUCUCUGCUGGAUACAUCUUGGGGGACUGAGGAACGCAGUGUGCCUUUGGCGGGGGUUUCGACCUCUUCACACUUAGGAUGCUGGUGGAAUGGCUUUAAACGACCCG
rnacentral:rRNA from 1 species